UCCCGCUUAGCUCAGCUGGUAGAGCGCGUCACUAGUAACGUGAUCGUGGGAAGAUCACAAUACAUGACGAGGUCAGUCGUUCAAGUCGGCUAGUGGGAA